rnacentral:rRNA from 1 species
CACAUUUAAAAUCUGACCCUUUUGGGGCCUGAGUUGUAAUCUGUASAGGGUGUUUCGGGUGCGGCUCUGGUUUAAGUUCCUUGGAACAGGGCGUCMUAKAGGGUGAGAACCCCGUCUGCWRGCARUGGCUUASCCWAUGUGAAACCCCUUCGACGAGUCGAGUUGUUUGGGAAUGCAGCUCCAAAUGGGUGGUAAAUUUCAUCUAAAGCUAAAUAUUGGCCGGAGACCGAUAGCGCACAAGUAGAGUGAUCGAAAGAUGAAAAGCACUUUGGAAAGAKAGUUAAAUAKUACGUGAAAUUGUUGAAAGGGAARCGCUUGCGGCCAGACCUGCGCGUAGGUGAUUAGUUAGUAAUCUUUUUACUASUGCACUCACCUAUAGCCAGGCCAGCAUCGGUUUCSGCGGCGGGACMWAAGCGUGGARAAUGUAACUCUCUUNUUUUGGGGGAGUACUUAUAGCUCGYCAUGAAAUGCCGCCNGCUGAGACCGARRACCSCGCUAUUAGCUAGGACGCUNGYAUAAUGGUNNNUCGACCGAUCCGGAUGUCUUCGGAUGGAUUUGAGUAUGAGCAUAGCUGUUGGGACCCGANAGAUGGUGAACUAUGCCUGAACAGGGKGAAGCCASAGGAAACUCUSGUGGAAGCUMGCAGCGGUUCUGACGUGCAAAUCGAUCGUCAAAUUUGGGCAUAGGGGCGAAAGWCUAAUCGAACCAUCUAGUAGCUGGUUCCUGCSGAAGUUUCCCUCAGGAUAGCAGUAACGAUUCUCAGUUUUAUGAGGUAAAGYGAAUGAUUAGAGGCCUUGGGGCUGCAACAGCCUUAACCUAUUCUCAAACUUUAAAUAUGUAAGAAGUCCUUGUUACUUAAUUGAACGUGGACAAUUGAAUGUAACGUUACUAGUGGGCCAUUUUUGGUAAGCAGAACUGSCGAUGMGGGAUGAACCGAACGCAAGGUUACGGUGCCGGAAUGCACGCUCAUCAGACACCACAAAAAGUGUCAAUUCAUCCAGACAGCCGGACGGUGGCCAUGGAAGUCGGAAUCCGCUAAGGAGUGUGUAACAACUCACCGGCCGAAUGAAUUGGCCUUGAAAAUGGAUGGCGCUCAAGCGUGUUACCUAUACCWUGCCGCC